UUUUAUUUGAGAGUUUGAUCCUGGCUCAGGAUGAACGCUGGCGGCGUGCCUAACACAUGCAAGUUGAGCGAUUUACUUCGGUAAAGAGCGGCGGACGGGUGAGUAACGCGUGGGUAACCUACCCUGUACACACGGAUAACAUACCGAAAGGUAUGCUAAUACGGGAUAAUAUAUUUGAGAGGCAUCUCUUAAAUAUCAAAGGUGAGCCAGUACAGGAUGGACCCGCGUCUGAUUAGCUAGUUGGUAAGGUAACGGCUUA
rnacentral:rRNA from 1 species